CUACGAACCCCACGGGAGGGGUCAGUGCCCACCAGCAGGCUCCUUGGCACCAAGCCUCCAUCUUCUUCCCGGGGUGGAGGGAGAUGUCAAGCCUAGAAGCCUCAGCUGGCCUGUUCUUGGGCGCCUGGCCUACCACCCGCCCCAGCCUCACCCGCAGGGUCUCCAACUCCUUGCGCGCCUGGCUUAGCUGUUUUUCCAGUUCUGCAAUCUUGGCCAUGGAUUCGUUCUCCGCGUCCCGAAGCCGCUCUGUCAGCUGUAGCACCAGCACAUGGUGAGCCCCGACCCGCAGCCCGGCACUGGCACCGCCGGUGAGGGGGCGGCAUCAGGCAUGCCUGCCUGGAAGACUGGGGGAGGCUCCCAGAUCCGCUCAGCCCAGGUGCCAAGGGUGGGCCGAGCCUGGCACUCGAACCCAAGCAAAUAAGGAGAGGAAACCAAGUUCCUCCAUGUGCUCCAGCACAGCGUUCUUGGUCUCUGUGUCCUCCAGCAGCGCCCCCACAUCAAAAAUAUUGUCCAGGUACGCCUGGAUCUGCACCUGCAGCUUGUCACUCUCGGUGAGCCGAAGCCUCUGUCCCCCAGAUGGAAGGAGUGGGGUGAGGCCUGGUGUGUGUGUGGGGGGGAGUCUUUCCAAACCACCCCCCUGCCACCACUGCCAUCCAGAGGAAGGGGCCUGAGCCCUAGCCUACUUUUUCUUUAUUUUUUAAUAUAUAAUUCACAAAUCAUAAAAUCCAUUUUAAAGUGUACAAUUCAGUCAUUCUUAGUAUAGCCACAAGGUUGUGCAACCAUCACCAUUAUCUAAUUCCAGAACAUUGUCAUCAGCCCAAAAAGAAACCCCACAGGCGUCAGCAGUCACUUGCCAUUCUCUCCUCCCCCAGUCCCUGGCAACCACUAAUCUACUUUCCAUCUUUAUGGAUUUACCCAUUCUGGACAUUUCAUAUAAAGCAAUCAUAGAUAGCUGGGCGAGGUGGCUCAUGCCUGUAAUCCCAGCACUGUGGGAGGCUGAGGCAGACGGAUCACCUAAGGUCAGGAGUUCAAGACCAACCUGGCCAACGUGGUGAAACCCCCGUCUCUACCAAAAAUACAAAAAUUAACCGAGUGUGGUGGUGGGCACCUAUAAUCCCAACUACUGGGGAGGCUGGAAAAUCACUUGAACCCGGGAGGCAGAGGUUGCAGUGAGCCAAGAUCGUGUCACUGCACUCUAGCCUGGGCAACAGAGCAAGACUCCAUCUCAAAAAAAAAGCAAUCAUAGAAUGGCAAAACUGACACUGAGAGAGAGGAAGAGGCCUAUCCAAGGUCACACGGCAGGCAACGGCAGAGCCAGGAUUUAAACCCAGGUCUACCUGACCCCAGCACUCAUGCUGCUAACCACUCAGCCAUACUCUGCCGUGGGCAGGCAGUUCAGUCUGGGGGGCAGUACAGGGCUUACCUCCAAGUACAGGUCCAGGCCCAAGUGGGUGAACUCAUAUUGCAGGAAGACACGGAAGUUCAUGUUCUCCACCGAAUGUACCACAAUGUUGAUGAACUGCAUGCAGGCCACCUGGGAGCCAGGGACAUGGGGAGAUCUAUGAUCCUCUAGGUGGGGUUGCUCAAUGCCUUCCACCUCCACUUACCCCAAGCCUCCCUCCUUCUCCACAGUUCUCACUCCACUAACUCCCAGCCUUGGCCUGCCCAACAUUUCACCUCCAUGUUCCCUCAAUCCAGCCCCCUGCCAACAUCCACCCUUCCCCUACUGACCACUCAGUCCUUACGCUUUGCGGGGGCAGAGCCCAUUGCCCAGCACCCAGGACCCUAGCUGCUCCCUGCACCCAAGAGGGCCUGGCCCAGGCCUCAGGCUGCUGGGCUCCUGAGCUCACCAUGAAGUCGAUGUUGCUGUCCUCAUUCCGGAAAUAUUCCAUCAGCUUUUCAAAGCGGUGCUGCUCCCCACACACCUGGGUAAGGGGAAUGGCUCUCACUGAGGCCCAGUGACACACGUCCUAAGCUACCUUCUGGCUGCCACACCUGUGCUUCAACAGGCUCCUCUCCAGUUAAUUCUAAGUUGAGCCACGUCACUCUUCUGCUCAAAACCUCCACUCCCUCUCAAUCUCCCACUCUCCCUCACUUUUUCCACUCUGGCCACACUGGCAUCCUGGCACAUUCCCACCCCAGGGCCUUUGCACUUACUGUUCCAACUCCCUGGAGUGCCCUCACUCCCACACCAAGUCCCUUGCUUCCUUCACAGCUUUGCUGAAAUCUCACUUGCUCAGUGAGGCCUUCCCUGACCACCCUGCAACCAAUUCCCCCUCCCUCUGCAACAUUGCUGGCUUUUUUCUCACAGCAUUUAUCAUUUCCUAACAUACUAUGUAAUUUGCUUGUUUAUUAUAUCGUUUCUGUCUUUCCCUAUAUGGUUUCCUUUGUUCACUGAUGUGCCCAAGUGCCCUGUUCCUGACACAUAGUAGGCACUCAAUAAAUAUUCAUUAAAGGAAUGAAUGAAU
rnacentral:lncRNA from 1 species